GCGAUGGUGGCUGAGGCGGAGGGGCAGCCCCAGCCUACUUCUGUCGCACACAAGGAGCCCCUUCGCUCGCUCCCCAAAAGUGCCACGGAGCAGCACGCGGACACGGCCCCAGCUGCUCCACUGUACUUCGUAGCGGGGAGCCGUCGAGGGGGAAAUAGAGCUCCUCUUCGUUCCCCAAGCCCGUGCAUUAACACCUUUGAAGGGAUAGCGACCUGUGCCCCCCUCCCGCCCGGCAAAGCUUAUUAAAGUAUCUCAGGCAUGCUUAGUCCGGGUAGUGGAGGGGUCUUGAGUAAGUUCAUUGCUCUAGCGCAGAGGGAGGGAGCUGGCACUCUCCCUCUUGCUAGUAGGCUUUGUAGGCCCGCACGGAUCAGGCCCUGAGCCGACUUCCAAAGGAGGAGCUUAAGAGGAGAGCAAAUCUGCUCCGGCGAGCUAUCUCGGAUUAUCAGUUUGUGAAAGCUCUCCAGUGGAGCUUCUUGAGUCGCCCGCCUACCGACACGGCAAGAAUUCUCUAAUGAGGAAUUGCUUUCCCGAGACAAAAAUGUGAGCGAAAGGACAAUCCGACUCAAUUCUUUAAACCCCGUUCCCAUUCCUGGACGGCCAUUUGAUUUCCACCGCCCGGGGUCUGCGGGCAAUGUGUUGGAGAGGAGCACAGCAGAAGCAAAGGAUACAAAGAACAGGAGAUUGCAUCUUCACCAGGUCCUGUCCACCUGCCAGAAAAAAACAGCAGCUGUAGGAAAUUUGCUUGUCCACAGCAACAAAGGAGAGUUUUAUUUUUGCCCAUUACAGGAACUUUUCUGGUAUGGAUGGGCUUGAACUGGAUCCUCCUUGUCCUAUUCAUUUAUGCAAAAAUGCUCUUAAUAUGCACUCAUUGAGCUGUAGAAGCUGUAACUUUAAGAAAAAAGUCAUUUGUGGAUCUAAGCUAUUUUUUUGGAUAGGAGGAAGAGCUGCUACCAAGGCAAGAGUCACAUAAAAGGAACCUGAGCCUGGCACAAGAAGGAAAGAUGAGUGAAGGUCUUAAACAAGCUCCUCCCUAGAUCAGACAAAGAUAAAGGAAGGGAGGGGGGGAGGCAUAUUCCGCCUUGAAAGAUUUUAUACUAUAGCUUUACAAUAAAAGUUGUACUACAUGUCAUUGGUUUCCCAGUCUGAUUUAUCAUGAAGGACUGAUCUCUCUUAAUGUGGCAGUGUCAGAUCCCCAAACCAUUAUUGUUUUCCCUGCAUAUGUGUUCUUGUUUGAGGCCUGCCAUUCUGCUGGGAGGGGGAAUUGCUUUUGCUUGGGAUAACUUUCACUUUCUACUUUUCCUCUCCUGCUUCUAUCUACUUGAGAGAAGAAUGUGUCUCCCUUAUCAGGGAGACAGUUACGGAGAAAUGAAACUGGGGAAGAUCUUGAGAUGCGUGCCAACUGUGUCAGUUACCCAAACAUUGUGCACCUGUGGAUUGGCUGGAUUUCAAAUGGACAUUAUGACUUUGGUGGGAGGAGGAAGAUUGUUAAUUUAACUGUACCAUUUAAGCAGGAGUUUCCCCAGAUCUUGUCUUGACUUCCCUAUUGUCACUAAUCCCCAAUAAAAGUUCCUUUUGAGAUAA